UUGUGGACAUCAUCCCUGUUGUUGUGAUUGGAAUCAUAGGCGGACUUUUGGGAAGCCUCUACAAUUGUGUCCUCCACAAAGUUCUGAGGCUCUACAAUCUCAUCAACGAGUAAGCACCAACUCUUCCACAUUCCCAACUGGAUCAUCAAACAUUCAGUUGGUUCUCUAUAUUUAAAAGGCAAUGCAUAUCCACACAAAAAUGAGCUUACUUGGAUUAGAAUCAUCUUGAGACAUUGAUCCAACUGCCUUGCAUCUUUUUAAGUUUGAAUCCCAAUUCCUAUCCAAACAUGGUCUUUUUAUCACAUUUAACUGCCAAAAAAAGUUACUCUAUAGAUGUAAAAUCCUGACUUUCAAACUUUGAUCCUUUUUUAUCUUGCAG
rnacentral:lncRNA from 1 species